rnacentral:rRNA from 1 species
GUGCCAGCAGCCGCGGUAAUACAGAGGUCCCAAGCGUUGUUCGGAUUCACUGGGCGUAAAGGGUGCGCAGGUGGUCGGGUAAGUCUGAUGUGAAAUCCCGCAGCUUAACUGCGGAAUGGCAUUGGAUACUAUUCGGCUAGAGGGUUGGAGGGGGGACUGGAAUUCUCGGUGUAGCAGUGAAAUGCGUAGAUAUCGAGAGGAACACCAGUGGCGAAGGCGAGUCCCUGGACAACUCCUGACGCUGAGGCACGAAAGCUAGGGGAGCAAACAGGAUUAGAAACCCCCGUAGUCC